AUUGAACGCUGGCGGCAGGCUUAACACAUGCAAGUCGAGCGGAGAUGAGGUGCUUGCACCUUAUCUUAGCGGCGGACGGGUGAGUAAUGCUUAGGAAUCUGCCUAUUAGUGGGGGACAACAUUCCGAAAGGAAUGCUAAUACCGCAUACGGCCUACGGGAGAAAGCAGGGGAUCUUCGGACCUUGCGCUAAUAGAUGAGCCUAAGUCGGAUUAGCUAGUUGGGGGGGUAAAGGCCUACCAAGGCGACGAUCUGUAGCGGGUCUGAGAGGAUGAUCCGCCAAACUGGGACUGGGACACGGCCCAGACUCCUACGGGAGGCAGCAGUGGGGAAUAGUGGACAAUGGGGGGAACCCUGAUCCAGCCAUGCCGCGUGUGUGAAGAAGGCCUUAUGGUUGUAAAGCAAUUUAAGCGAGGAGGAGGCUACUGAGAUUAAUACUCUUGGAUAGUGGACGUUACUCGCAGAAUGAGCACCGGCUAACUCUGUGCCAGCAGCCGCAGUAA
rnacentral:rRNA from 1 species